UGUUGUCUUUAAAAAGUAAUUUUUAAACGUAUAUUAUUAUAUGAUCUAAACUCUAGCUUAACUUUGAAUUCACUAAAUAGGAUGCCUUUGACAUGAUCGAAAUACUCGUGAGUCAAGAGACAAAAAAAAAAAUGUGUUGCAUCAGUAAAAAUGUGUACUAGAAUUUAAAUAAGGGAAGUCCUUUGUAUGAAAGGCAGGCUUAGUUCGAGGAUAUUAUGCGGGAUUCGUUAUUUCGUUCUUGCAAAAGAUCCGUGGUUGACAAACGUGUGGCAAAAUUCUAAUCUGCGUGCGCAUAGUUUAUUGAAUCUCGGAUCAUACAUACGUUAUAAUUACGUUAGUGUAAUUGCUUAUAUAAGGGAGAAAUUAUUUAAAAUAAUCCUGUAUUUAACCUGGAUUAUAUUACAUAUAUUACAGCUGUGUGAGCCUUGCUUCGACGGUAGUACUAAUAGUCCACUGGUCACCAUUUAAGAUUGUCAGCAUUUACCGGGCGUUUAUGUUGAAUGCUCGCUCCACUUGCGUGUAGGUUUCUUCCAAAAGUUCCUCGACAUGCUUGUUGUCACUUGCAGGCUGGGUCGAUAAUAGGCGCUUUUUGAAGUGUUUUAUUUUACCAUGUAAAUUAUCUCCAUUUUGGUGGUCCAUGUCCUGUGGACCUGUCACAGCGGUUGUUGAAAAUUUGGGGAUGAAAUUAAUAAUAGUUCAUCAUCGCGUCUUUAAUCAAUACAUAUAACAAGUCUUUAGAUAUUAAAUUAUUAUUUUAUGAUCAAUCACUGCCAAAAUAAAUGUCUCUCAUGAGUAGCCACGGUCUUGUUGCCUGACAGACGAUGAAACAUGUAAUCCACGAGUCUAUCUGGAUAUUUGUAUCAAUUAAUUUACAAUUAAUCGAUUAAUUGAACAAUUAAUUUAUAAUUACCGUAAUUGUUUUAGUUAUCGAUUUCUGGAAAUAUUUAUCUGUUUUUGGUAUGGUGGAAAAUAAAGAGGAGGAAGAAAGAGGAAAUAUACGUAAUGAUACGAGGUGAGCAACUCAUUGUUGUUACUUUCAUAAUGAGAUGGAAAUUUAAUUGAUUGCUCUAACGUUUGCCGUGCACAGUUCAGUUAACAAGCUCUUCACAGCGAUCGUAUACUUCUUUGCAAACGCAGAAUCUUUAAUUCUUCCUCCACUAAAGAGUUUGAGGAUACAAUUUUUCUAUUAACUGUGAGCUUUGCGUGUCUUUCGAAUGGCUUAAAUGCUACUUUUCUGCUGACACCGCGCAUGCGUAGCAACUCUAUCGUCAUUUAUUUCAUGAAUGUGAAUGGUUUCUCUUCAUUGCCUGAUUAUAUGCAAAAUUGUGUUAAAUAUCCGUUCAGAAAUUUUUCAGCUUGAUUAUCCGCAAGUGGCAACGAAAUUGGCCCAAUUAAAGUUGGGUUCCUCGUAAAUUUUAUAAAUUUUUCCCCUUCUAAUUCGGAUGAAAACAAAAACCUUUGAUCGGAGACCUAAUUUAUUCGAUAACAAGGUUUCUUCAGAUAAAUUCUAAAGUAUAUCGGAAUAGAUGUUCGUUAACUAAGCGACAUAUGGUCAUAUAUUGUCUAGUGAUUUUUUUUCGACUCAUUUUCUCUAUCGUGAUCACUUUAUCGUUGAAUUAUCAUCAUUAUGUAAAGCCUUAAGACCUAGCUAAGACUCAAAGACAUUCAUAAUAUACAUCUUCUCCAUGAUUUCUAUUUUAUGUAUUAUAUGUAUAUGAUCAGAUCUUCCUCGUUGUUCAUAAGAACUAAUUUUAUGUAGGUUAUCUCUGACCACCAAAAUAUGUUUAUUACUUUAAAUUUAUUGUUCGGCAUCCUUUCUUCUUAAGUAAUGAAUGUCAAUGUUCUACGAGCCUUAACAUGCAUGGAGCAAGAAUAUUAUAUAGCCUUCUUGCCUGAGCUGCUCUUCUAGCUCAUAAGAUCGUUGCUGUUAAAUACUUUUCGAGUUUUCUAUAAAAACUUCUCCUCUGAAUGAGUAAAAAAACGUCCACGAUAUGACGUUAGUAUUAAGACCUAACAUGGUAUAUUUAUUAGCUGGUUUGAGUGUUGGCCGACUCUGUAAACGCGAGAAAUACCUUGAUUGUCAUGGAAAUAUGUAGGUAGGCCUAUGAGGAGGCAUGCGUUCGAAUCACAUUAUCUUGUUUAGUUCAUCACAAUAACUGAGCAUUACAUUCAUCCGACUCAAAACUAUGAACUUCCACACAAUUUUACUUCGAGUUGCUCUGAACACGACCUAUUAUUGAGUGCUCAAUAAUGAGGAACGAGUGACGGGAAUAAAAUUUCGUAGAUAUCCUAAUCGUCGAUCAAACACUCCCAACACUGUUCUCUAGGAUGUUUGUCAGUCAACUCAAGUUGAAGCUAAACAUCAAGUUCCUCUAUUUAUUUGCGCUAGAAUUAGAAUGAAAUCAGAAGAAAUAUAGUUCUAUAUCGUAGUGUCACAAUUCAUUGCCACAGACAAGCCUUAUAAAAUGCAUUGUUUUUAUCAAUAUUCUUGAGAAAUUUAUUUAUCAUAAAACAAUAAUGAACAUGAAAAUUAUUCCUGUUAUUGUCACUUUUAUUAUAGAGAAGAAUUUAAGUGGUUUAGUUAAGGAAUGCAAGUACUCGUUGACGGAUUUGUUAGUUAACAAAAUGUAAUUUAGUUAAUGUUUUAUGCUUAAUAGUUUAUAUGAAUCUAUGGAUAAAUUUACGAGCUGAUUAUAGGAGAAGAAGAUAAUGUGAGAAUCAGAUCAGGCGUACUUAUUUUAAAUAUAAUUACUUGUUUAAAAAUAUAGAAGCUCAUUGGCACCACUAACAUAUUAAUAACAACUGUAGUUAUCGAGCUCCGAGUGCUGUAAGCGGUUAUUAUAACUAUAGUUAUUAUCGAGCUCUGAGUACCCUAUAUUUUAUAUUAUUUCAUCGUGCUCGAGCAUUGUAUGGGCUUUCACAGUUUUAUCGACGGGAAUUGAAAUGCGUCUUGAACGAAAGUUUCACCCAGAACGUAAACUUGCCCACUGAUUGAAGAUUGAGUAUUGGCAAUUGCAAUAGCAUCACAAAUUCGUUCAUAUAAGUUCGGAUUGCUUUAUAUAAAAUCGUAUAUUUUUAGUUAUGCAUACUCAACUACUGACAUAUCUUGAUUCUCUAGCAGCGAUUCGUACGUACAUCGCGUGUAGCGAACGCAGACAUCAAACCAAUGUCGGGAGUUGGCGUUGCUUGUUGUGUCGGGUGGGCCAUAAUUUGCAGGUGACUAGUGGGCCCAAAGGUGCAGGGGAUGAGUGGGCCCAAAUGUGCAGGUGACUAGUGGGCCCAAAUGUGCAGGUGACUAGUGGGCCCAAAUGUGCAGGUGACUAGUGGGCCCAAAUGUGCAGGUGACUAGUGGGCCCAAAUGUGCAGGUGACUAGUGGGCCCAAAUGUGCUGGUGAUGGAUGAGCCUAAAUGUGUUUUCAAAGGUCUUUCACUUCGUAUUAUUUUGGUUGGUCGGCAUGCGAAACUCUUUGCUUAGGAUUUGGACUGCAGUUUUCUAGAAUAGUCUCUAAUUUCUGCUAGAAUUGUGUGCAUGCAGGAUCUAUGAAAAAGUUCAUUGCCAUAGUGACUCACGUGAAAGAAUAAUCUUCUGAACUAGGCCUUAUACAAAUCAGUAACGUGUCCGUAGAACUAAUCUUAUCAGAAUUUUAUUAUCUUGUAAACAUAUUAUCAUUUGAACGAUCCCUCAUGCUUGAGCUUAAUUUGGUGUCCUCCUCCUAUUCUCAAAAAUAUUUUUCGUUAGAAAUUUUGUGUUCACAAGUAUGAUGACCCUGUAAUGCUGCCAAAUUUUGUACUUGCUUCGAAUGUCGCUUAGAACGAAGAGCUCACGCUUUCGCGGUUCAAUAACCGCCUGUUCCUGAUACGAGUUCGUGAAGGCUGCACCAGACCUCUUACUCUCCUUACUGCGCUUAUAAAAAAUACAAAGUAAAAUGGCUUCUCGCUUUCGCUCUGCUUGAAUUAUCUAUGCGUAUUCAGAAAUAAAUUGUAGUUUUUGGUUUCAUCAAAACUGGUUCAGAUAUUGCUGCUCUCGUUUUGCCGAAGCCUGACGCAGAUAUGUUGUCUUUGAAGAUAACACGUCUUUCAUCACACACAAACCCGGUCUAGGUUACGUAGUGCAGAAGUUUUAUCCUUUUCAACUUCCGCAUGGUGAGGAUUUUGAACUCCUCGCGAGCUUUUAAUUAUGAGUGGUUGAGGUGCAAUGGAUGCGACUUAGCGUGAGGCCUUUCACAAUCGCUCAUUGGAUCUUGUAAAUACUGCACUCUACCCUAAGGUGUCUUUUGAUGAUGAUUUUGUACCAGUUAUUCUUUCUCACUGAUGCUAUUAUUCGAAGGAACUCGUAGUGGAUGUACAGUAGAUCUUUUUCACCAUUGUGUGUUAGCUCGUUACUUAUUCUGAUGAGAAACUACCUAUACACGAUGGUUGUUCAGUCGCCAGUAUGGCCAAGACAGCGGCAGAUCGUGCGCUAAUCAGCUCUAUAUAUCAUUGGAUAUUCCGAUAAUCAGUCGUAUAUGUAGCACUAUCGACUGCGGUGCGUUGUACUAACUAUCACUCAUGUAUAUUCUCGCUAAAGUCGCCGUUCUGAUAUAUACGAUAAUUGAUUACUCAUUGCCUGUUUCGGAAAGACGGUUAUGAUCUUUGAAAUGCUAUGGAACCAGUACUGCAAGUCUGUGAAAUAUUUUCAAAUCAAGCUCUCAAUUUACAAUUCCUCUGUGAAUUGACAUUCAAUUUUUAAUCUUAUGUCUUCUUUAAUUACCAUUCGUUAGAAAAGAUUGUGUCCUCAUAAUUCGUGAACACUUUUUGGCAUAAACUAACUCAAAUUAUCCGAUUAUAAAAUAAAUUUAUCCAUGUUCAUAAGGAAAUGUGAACCAUAAACUAGAUUCAAAAUUGUAAGCAUAGGCCAUACAUAGGAUAUGCAUCUUCAAAUAAAUUUUAUUUCUAAC